AGUGGACUUCCAUGGAUUCAAAAAGACACUGCAAGAGGUGGAAAAGAGAACUCCCCCUUGUCUUCAAUUACAUCUUUCCUCUUGUCCCCUCUCUCACAUUUCAGUUUCCAGCCCAGACUGUAUAAAAGAGUCAGUCUGACCAAUUCCACUACUAGAGCUCCCAAUUUCUCUUCAUUUUAGAGAAAAUGAAGAGACAUCCUUUUGUAAAAUCCAUGUCUAAGUCCUUGCUCCUGGAGGAAGACAACUUCCUUCGGAAAGAGGCAGGGAAAGCCAGGUGCCCCAAGGGAUCAAAGUGGGAGGCAGAGGGAAGCCCUCAGUCUCUGCCCUCUAACUCAUCGGGGACCAAGCUCUGCUUCUCUGUGCCCCAUGUCUCUGAGCCCUGCCUCUGUGGGUGCAGCGUGAGGACCAAGGCAGUGCUACAUCCCCGGCCCUCUCCAGUUUCCCGCCCAACCUCUCAGGUACUCCCUAAAUUGUCAGUAGGGAGGAAGCAGCAGUCUCCUCCGGUGGUUAUCUUCAGGCCUCAACUCUCCCAGAGUUCUCCAGAGCCCAAGGCCAAGACCAAGGCCAAGGCCCAGCUGCUGUCUUGGGGUGGGUCAAGAAUUUCUUGCAAAGGCAAGUCACGCAAGCUGAUACCCAUGGGCGUGUGGCCCCAGGGAUUUCUUGACCCACUCGCCAAGUCCUUGCCAGGGGACUCACUGCACACUUUGUCCCCUGGGAAGGGAGCCAUCUCCCCAGCCAGGAAGCCACAUCCCCAAUGAUAUUACUUGUGCAGGGUGACAAAUGCCAGUCCUCUCUACCAUUCUUAUUUAAAUAAAAAUGUAUUUAGUCAA